GAUCUGAACAGCAGAGGCACUCUAUCAGCCAUCUUAGAUGGAUUAUUCUUACGCAUUUCAUGUUGCUUCUGGGUGAAAGACAGUGUCACGGAAGACCAGACAACUUUGGAGGAUUUUGUCAGAAACCAGAAAGACUGAAGGAGCUCUGGGUAAGAGACGAAUGCCAACUGAAUCAGACACAAGCCAGAAAAAAAUGAGGAGUGAAGAGCAGCUGGUAAUGAAGGGAAAACAUGAAUGAAGUGGAGGCCAGAGUAUGUGUUGAUGAUGAAUACUUUUGACAGCGUACCUCUCUCCAGCUCUGCCAUGCAUGUUCUGAUGUUUGAAGCAGGAGCUAGUUCCUGCACUGAGCACUGAGCCUAGAUGGCCACAACAGGUAGGAGUGGAGAUGGCACGGCAGGCCGAGGAGACGGUGACCCUGAUCUGCUGAACUGAGUUGCCUUAAACAGCCCUUCCUUUACAGCCAGAGAAUCCUUUAAAAAAUGCAAACUUGCACAACAGCAUCCAGUGUAGUAACCCUGAUUCUCACCAGGAAGAAAGGUGCGCUUCCAUCCAGCAUCUACUUACAUCAGUUUUAGGUGCUGUGCUUGACUUUUGCUCAUUUGACAGAGAAAAGGGGCACUCAUGCGAAAAAAAAGAUACUAGGUCUCACAAGAUCUUGCAAUGCCCAAGAAAGCCAACAGAAAAUGAAAAUGUGAAGGCAAGCAUCUGCUGGAGGUCCAGACUUUGUGGUGUCUUGUGUUUGGACAGAGAACACAUUUCCCUAUUGGCAAGUAUCAGGGUAAAAAGGAGAAAACCGAGGCAGCUGGGAGUAAAGAAUCAGGUCUCUUCCAUGCUGAACGCAUGCCUAAACUGUUGCGGGACCAUUCCUGACGCCUAGCUCCAUUCUCGUCCCUACAUAGAAGCAAACUCUUUCCUAGGACUGGGAGCAGGCACAGAGUCCUGGACAUCCACUUCCUGAGAACUGAACCAAACAGCAGGCCGUUGAUUCAAUGAUUUCUGUGUAUGGGACGGGGGGAGGAAGGACAGCCUCCACCUCAAGUGGAUUUUGAGGGUAGAAAAUGGCGCCGGCACUCAGAACACACACACCAAAUCAGGCACCCCAAGGGAACACAGGGACUAACACAGAGUUGUUGAAUCCCACUGUUCUUACGCGGGAGAUGUUUGGCUUGCCCUUCUGGACUCUCCCAGGUUAAGACACUUAUGGGUCUGUUUACCAGAGAAGCAGAGAAGAGGGAGGUAGUUUUUUGGCGAACUCUACUGAGUUUACAUGCCUGUGCUCUGCACAUUUGUCUCUAUGGGUGCCCACCCACUACUUUAGAGAUCCUUAAGGACAACAUUUUGUAAAUUUGGGCUACAGCUAUGGUUGCAACUUCCACGGGGCUGUGUGCCCAGCAGAGUGUGUUGACUUGGGAUUUGCUGCCGUACAUGCAGAAGAGGAGCCGUUUUCCCCUGGCACGCUAUUUUUGGAGUGAGGCUGCUGUCACCUGCUGAGCGCUGAUGCAAAGUGGGGAAAUCAUCGCUCCAUGAGGGCCCACAGAGGAUGAUCUCCCAGAGAAAGUCUUAAAUAGACGCAGUUGGUGUGCUCCCCAUAUGGACUGCAGAGGAUCGUGGACAACCUGAACAAGAAAUAGCGUGCUGCCUCUCCCAAGCAAAAAAGCAGCAUUCCAGUAACAGCACCAGCAAGAGAACCAGCAACCAAAUCUGGAAAUCCAUUUCACCAACAAUUUUGGCAGGGAAGCUCAACUGAGCUGCUCUGUUUUCCAGGCGCCAGUGAAUCCCUCUGAUGGAAUUCCAGGAAUGUUGCCAGAUCCACAAGCAGAUUUGAGCUCUCUCUUAAACCCUGCCAUGGAGCAGAGAAAUCACCUAGCACCUGAGCCUUGCUCUUAGUGUCUCAUGACAGGGCUCUUACACCUCCCGCAGAAUAGGCAUGCUGAACCCUCCUUGCCACGCAAACAGCACAGCCCCAACAUCAACACCGUACUGCUGGGAGAAAAACAGUCCAGCACAGAGGAAGGCUUUGGAAUCAGAGCUCAAAGAGGUGAAGUCUAAGGAGUCCAAGAUUAGCUAACGUGUGAGGCCGAGAGCCCCCCACCCAUGUAGGGUCAUGGGAUGGCUCUGCUCUGAGAACCCUAAGAGUCACCUGCAAGAUACUGGCUAACAGGAGACACUUCUCAGGGAGCUGAAGGCACUGGUCUGGAAGGAAGGCAGUACACCCCUGUGCUGCCUGGCAAAGCAGUGACCAAGUGAAGUGGCCAUUGCAAGCUGAGCUGGAGAGGACAUCAGAUAUGUAUUCCCAAAUCUACUUGCGUAGAGCUCAAACAAUGUCCCCAUCUCUCGGGUUAAAUUCAGACCUUGCCAAGUACAAGCCUCGUGGAGAGAAAUUGUGUCCCCUGCAGCCUUUAAUGGGGUGAGCAGGGAAUCUCCUCAGGACAGGGGAUGCAAGUGGUGUUUGAGCACCCUGACACGAUGGCUGCUGGCGAUCUGGUGGCACGUCGCCAUCAUUGCUUUAUUUCUGACCCAUUUCCUUCCCUGUCCUUCCCCAGGAGGCCUGUUCCCCUCCUCACUUGCUCAGUAGCAGGAGCCCCCCGGUUGCUUUGGCAGGCGGUGGAAAUGGCAAUCAGACAGUCACCUUCUCAGCCAGGACUCACUGCCCAGCAGCGAUUGCUUCCGGAGACCUUAGCUGAGAACAUAAGAGGCGUCUGAGUAACUGUGCAACUCAGGCACUCAUUCAAGUGCAGCCCAGCUUCAAAUGACAGGUCUGUCCUACCAGCUGCUCUGCUUACCUUUCCACUUAGACAGUCUGGUCCUUCUCCACUGGGAUGCUCGGUCUCUUCUAGCCUGCAGCAAGCCCCAUAAGAACGUCAUCACUGUAAAGAGAAAACACGACCAAUAGAAAAAGCUGUGAAUAAAACUUCCUGAAGGAAAGAUCCAUUCAA